UACGAAGGGGGCUAGCGUUGCUCGGAAUGACUGGGCGUAAAGGGCGCGUAGGCGGCGACUCAAGUUAGAUGUGAAAGUCCUGGGCUUAACCUGGGGACUGCAUUUGAUACUGGGUUGCUUGAAUUCGGGAGAGGAUAGCGGAAUUCCCAGUGUAGAGGUGAAAUUCGUAGAUAUUGGGAAGAACACCGGUGGCGAAGGCGGCUAUCUGGACCGACAUUGACGCUGAGGCGCGAAAGCGUGGGGAGCAAACAGG
rnacentral:rRNA from 1 species